rnacentral:rRNA from 1 species
GACGAACGCUGGCGGCGUGCCUAAUACAUGCAAGUCGAGCGAAGCGGCGGAUGGGUGAGUAACGCGUGGGUAACCUGGCCUUCAGUCUGGGAUACCAUCUGUAAACAGAUGCUGAUACCGGAUCCUAAGGGAUGGAGCUGCGAGGCAUUAGCUAGUUGGUAAGGUAACGGCUUACCAAGGCGAUGAUGCAUAGCUGAGUUGAGAGACUGAUCGGCCACAUUGGGACUGAGACACGGCCCAAACUCCUACGGGAGGCAGCAGUAGGGAAUCUUCCACAAUGGACGAAAGCCUGAUGGAGCAACGCCGCGUGAGUGAAGAAGGUUUUCGGAUCGUAAAGCUCUGUUGUUGGUGAAGCGGUAAUCAACCAGAAAGUCACGGCUAACUACGUGCCAGCAGCCGCGGUAAUAC